ACUACGGGCGGCAGCAGUGGGGAAUAUUGCACAAUGGGCGCAAGCCUGAUGCAGCCAUGCCGCGUGUGUGAAGAAGGCCUUCGGGUUGUAAAGCACUUUCAGCGGGGAGGAAGGCGUUAAGGUUAAUAACCUUGUCGAUUGACGUUACCCGCAGAAGAAGCACCGGCUAACUCCGUGCCAGCAGCCGCGGUAAUACGGAGGGUGCAAGCGUUAAUCGGAAUUACUGGGCGUAAAGCGCACGCAGGCGGUCUGUCAAGUCGGAUGUGAAAUCCCCGGGCUCAACCUGGGAACUGCAUUCGAAACUGGCAGGCUAGAGUCUUGUAGAGGGGGGUAGAAUUCCAGGUGUAGCGGUGAAAUGCGUGGAGAUCUGGAGGAAUACCGGUGGCGAAGGCGGCCCCCUGGACAAAGACUGACGCUCAGGUGCGAAAGCGUGGGGAGCAAACAGGAUUAGAUACCCGUGUAGUC
rnacentral:rRNA from 1 species